rnacentral:rRNA from 1 species
UACGGGGGGGUGCGAGCGUUGUCCGGAAUCACUGGGCGUAAAGGGCGCGUAGGUGGCCUGAUAAGGGUGUGGUGAAAGUCCGGGGCUCAACCCCGGAUCUGCCGUGCCGACUGUCAGGCUAGAGUACUGUAGGGGCAGGCGGAAUUCCGGGUGUAGCGGUGGAAUGCGUAGAGAUCCGGAGGAAGACCGGUGGCGAAGGCGGCCCCCUGGGUUAACACUGACGCUCAGGCACGAAAGCGUGGGGAGCAAACAGG